GCUUACUUGUACAGAAAUAGGUAAAAAGCUGUACAUCACAAUCCGUAGGGUAUCCGAAUAUUCAGUAUGCAUUUAGUGGUAGUCAAAAGGUGGCCAGAU